UAAUAAUUUUGCACACUGAGUCAUCUUAAACCCAGCUAUGAGGGCUCAAAUAUUUGUUGGGUAAGCAUUUGCUUGAUUUCUGAUUUAAUGUUGGGUGGAUCUUUCUAUACUUUUUUUGUGUGCUGCCAUAGAUAUCUGCCAUUGGUUGCCAAAAAUGCUUAGUUCCCUCUUCUGAGCGAGUUCCAUUGGGCAAUCAUGAAUUUCUUGUGGGAAGAGGUGAAAGAAUACAAGAGAGCCUGUCGUGAUGCUGAUGUCCAUGCCAGUCUUGAGCACCCACCACGAGCUCGCAUCGAUGCUAUUUCUUAGGUCUGUUGAUCUGCGCGUACAGAGGCUCUGGCUCCUGUGGAUAAAGGAACAAAAUUUGUCCACGUCUCUGCCCUGCUUCAAAUCCUUCAGAGGCUCCCCAUCACCCACAGGGAUGAUCUUUCUGAAAUGGAUUUGGCCAUGCCAGUCUCCUGCCUGAAACAGCCCUCCUGGCUCCUUGUCACUCAAAGGAAAAGGCAAACUCCUCAAGACUGCACAUAAUGCCCACCUU
rnacentral:lncRNA from 10 species